AACGCAUAUUGCACUUUCUGGUAUUCCGGAAAGUAUGCCUGUUUGAGGGUCAGUUAAAUAAAAAAUCGGUGUUGUUGCUGCCUUUCGUGGUGACGCGUCGGAAUUGAGUUGUCUUACCUUCGGUUAAGUGACUUAAAAUUUUGCAUGAUUUUUGAACGUAUUUAAAUUGCUUACGUACGUUUGAGAUAUCGAAUACUUUUAUCAGGUUCAGUCAUCCUCAUGACUCGCGCCUAUAAUUUUUCAUUAAAUGACCUCAAAUCAGGUAAGAAUACCCGCUGAACUUAA
rnacentral:misc_RNA from 1 species